rnacentral:rRNA from 1 species
GUGUCAGCAGCCGCGGUAAUACCCGCGGCCCGAGUGGUGGUCGAUAUUAUUGAGCCUAAAACGUCCGUAGCCGGCCUCGCAAAUCCCUGGGUAAAUCGGCCAGCUUAACUGUCCGAAUUCCGGGGAGACUGCGAGGCUUGGGACCGGGAGAGGUCAGAGGUACUUCCAGGGUAGGGGUAAAAUCCUGUAAUCCCGGAAGGACCACCGGUGGCGAAGGCGUCUGACUAGAACGGAUCCGACGGUGAGGGACGAAGCCCUGGGGCGCAAACGGGAUUAGAUACCCCGGUAGUCCAGGGUGUAAACGCUGCGGGCUUGGUGUUGGGGGUCCUUUGAGGGCGCCCAGUGCCGGAGAGAAGUUGUUAAGCCUGCUGCUUGGGGAGUACGUCCGCAAGGAUGAAACUUAAAUGAAUUGGCGGGG